UAUAAGUCAAUGUCUGGGUUUGCUCAAGUCAGUCUAAAUUUAUUAACAGGACGAAAAUAAGAAUAACGAAGAUUCACCAUGGCUUGUAAAAUUACUGGAUUGACAGCAGCUGAGAAAGCCGCCAUUACUGCCUCCUGGAAGAUUUUGUCUGUCAAUAAAAAGGACAAUGGAAUGACAUUAUUUCUAACAUUAUUUUCCACUUAUCCCGACACACUGAACUAUUUUAAAGCCUUUGAAAACAAGAGCCUUGAUGAGAUCAAAGGUAUGUCAGAUAUGAGAGCGCAUGCUACCGCUGUCAUGUACGCC